AUUGAACGCUGGCGGCGUGCUUAACACAUGCAAGUCGUGCGAGAAAGGUUCCUUCGGGGACUGAGUAGAGCGGCGCACGGGUGAGUAACGCGUGGGUGACCUACCUGGGAGAUCGGGAUAACAGCGGGAAACUGCUGCUAAUACCGGCUACGCUUCCUAUUUCACUUUAGGGGGGAAAGGCGGCCUCUGCUUGCAAGCUGCCGCUCUCAGAUGGGCCCGCGUCUCAUUAGCUUGUUGGUGGGGUAAUGGCCUACCAAGGCGACGAUGAGUAGCUGGUCUGAGAGGAUGAUCAGCCACACUGGGACUGAAACACGGCCCAGACUCCUACGGGAGGCAGCAGUGGGGAAUAUUGCGCAAUGGGCGAAAGCCUGACGCAGCGACGCCGCGUGAGGGAAGAAGGCCUUCGGGUCGUAAACCUCUGUCUAGAGGGAAGAAACCAUUGGGGUCGAACAGGCCUCUUUGCUGACGGUACCUCUGAAGGAAGCACCGGCUAACUCCGUGCCAGCAGCCGCGGUAAUACGGAGGGUGCGAGCGUUAAUCGGAAUCACUGGGCGUAAAGCGCACGUAGGCGGUGUCGUAAGUCGGAUGUGAAAGCCCUCGGCUCAACCGGGGAACUGCAUUCGAUACUGCGAUGCUUGAGUGCCGGAGAGGGUGGCGGAAUUCCAGGUGUAGGAGUGAAAUCCGUAGAUAUCUGGAGGAACACCGGUGGCGAAGGCGGCCACCUGGCCGGCAACUGACGCUGAGGUGCGAAAGCGUGGGGAUCAAACA
rnacentral:rRNA from 1 species